GCCGGCGGUGUGCCUAAUACAUGCAAGUCGUACGCACUGGCCCAACUGAUUGAUGGUGCUUGCACCUGAUUGACGAUGAUCACCAGUGGUGGCGGACGGGUGAGUAACACGUAGGUAACCUGCCCCGGAGCGGGGGAUAACAUUUGGAAACAGAUGCUAAUACCGAUAACAACAAAAGCCGCAGCUUUUGUUUGAAAGAUGGCUUUGGCUAUCACUCUGGGAUGGACCUCGGUGCAUUAGCUAGUUGGUAAGGUAACGGCUUACCAAGGCGAUGAUGCAUAGCCGAGUUGAGAGACUGAUCGGCCACAAUGGAACUGAGACACGGUCCAUACUCCUACGGGAGGCAGCAGUAGGGAAUCUUCCACAAUGGCGCAAGCCUGAUGGAGCCACCGCGUGAGUGAAGAAGGGUUUCGGCUCGUAAAGCUCUGUUGUUGGAGAAGACGUGCGUGAGAGUAACUGUUCACGCAGUGACGGUAUCCAACCAGAAAGUCACGGCUAACUACGUGCCAGCAGCCGCGGUAAUAUAGGUGGCAAGCGUUAUCCGGAUUUAUUGGGCGUAAAGCGAGCGCAGGCGGUUGCUUAGGUCUGAUGUGAAAGCCUUCGGCUUAACCGAAGAAGUGCAUCGGAAACCGGGCGACUUGAGUGCAGAAGAGGAAGUGGAACUCCAUGUGUAGCGGUGGAAUGCGUAGAUAUAUGGAAGAACACCAGUGGCGAAGGCGGCUGUCUGGUCUGCAUGACGCUGAGGCUCGAAAGCAUGGGUAGCGAACAGGAUUAGAUACCUGGUAGUCCAUGCCGUAAACGAUGAGUGCUAGGUGUUGGAGGGUUUCCGCCCUUCAGUGCCGGAGCUAACGCAUUAAGCACUCCGCCUGGGGAGUACGACCGCAAGGUUGAACUCAAGGAAUUGACGGGGGCCCGCACAGCGGUGGAGCAUGUGGUUUAAUUCGAAGCUACGCGAAGAACCUUACCAGUCUUGACAUCUUGCGCUAACCUUAGAGAUAAGGCGUUCCCUUCGGGGACGCAAUGACAGGUGGUGCAGGUCGUCGUCAGCUCGUGUCGUGAGAUGUGGGUUAAGUCCCGCAACGAGCGCAACCCUUGUUACUAGUUGCCAGCAUUNAGUUGGGCCUCUAGUGAGACUGCCGGUGACAAACCGGAGGAAGGUGGGGACGACGUCAGAUCAUCAUGCCCUAUGACCGGGCUACACACGUGCUACAAUGGACGGUACAACGAGUCGCAANCUCGCGAGAGUAAGCUAAUCUCUUAAAGCCGUCAGUUCGGACUGUAGGCUGCAACUCGCCUACACGAAGUCGGAUCGCUAGUAAU
rnacentral:rRNA from 2 species